GCCGGGCAUGGUGGCAUGCACCUGUGGUCCCAGCUACUUGGGGGCUGAGGUGGGAGAAUCACUUGAGCCCAGGAGGUCAAGGCUGCAGUGAGGUGCAGUGAGCAUGAUUGCGCCACUGCACUCCAGCCUGGGUGACAGAGUGAGACCCUACCUUUU
rnacentral:SRP_RNA from 1 species